rnacentral:rRNA from 1 species
UACGUAGGCAGCAAGCGUUGUUCGGAGUUACUGGGCGUAAAGAGUAUGUAGGCGGUGUCCUAAGUUCGGUGUGAAAUCUCCCGGCUCAACUGGGAGGGUGCGCCGAAGACUGGGAUGCUGGAGUCUCGGAGAGGAACGCGGAAUUCCUGGUGUAGCGGUGAAAUGCGCAGAUAUCAGGAGGAACACCGGUGGCGAAGGCGGAUCUCUGGGCCGAUACUGACGCUGAGGAGCGAAAGCGUGGGGAGCGAACAGG